rnacentral:rRNA from 1 species
CAGUAGCCGCGGGAAUACAGAGGGUGCGAGCGUUAAUCGGAUUUACUGGGCGUAAAGCGUGCGUAGGCGGCUUCUUAAGUCGGAUGUGAAAUCCCUGAGCUUAACUUAGGAAUUGCAUUCGAUACUGGGAAGCUAGAGUAUGGGAGAGGAUGGUAGAAUUCCAGGUGUAGCGGUGAAAUGCGUAGAGAUCUGGAGGAAUACCGAUGGCGAAGGCAGCCAUCUGGCCUAAUACUGACGCUGAGGUGCGAAAGCGUGGGGAGCAAACAGGAUUAGAUACCCGCGUAGUCCCUGUCUCUUAUAC